AACGUAGGAGACAAACGUUAUCCGGAGUUACUGGGCGUAAAGGGCGUGUAGGUGGUUUUGUAAGUCUGGCGUGAAAUUUGUCGGCUCAACCGAGAAAGGUCGUCGGAUACUGCAAGACUAGAGGACGGUAGAGGCGUGUGGAAUUCCGGGUGUAGUGGUGAAAUGCGUAGAGAUCCGGAGGAACACCAGUGGCGAAGGCGACACGCUGGGCCGUACCUGACACUGAGGCGCGAUAGCAUGGGGAGCAAACAGG
rnacentral:rRNA from 1 species